rnacentral:rRNA from 1 species
AGAGUUUGAUCCUGGCUCAGGAUGAACGCUAGCGACAGGCCUAACACAUGCAAGUCGAGGGGCAGCGGGGAGGUAGCAAUACCUUUGCCGGCGACCGGCGCACGGGUGAGUAACACGUAUGCAAUCCACCUGUAACAGGGGGAUAACCCGGAGAAAUCCGGACUAAUACCCCAUAAUAUGGGCGCUCCGCAUGGAGAGUUCAUUAAAGAGAGCGAUCUUGGUUACAGACGAGCAUGCGCUCCAUUAGCCAGUUGGCGGGGUAACGGCCCACCAAAGCGACGAUGGAUAGGGGUUCUGAGAGGAAGGUCCCCCACAUUGGAACUGAGACACGGUCCAAACUCCUACGGGAGGCAGCAGUGAGGAAUAUUGGUCAAUGGUCGGCAGACUGAACCAGCCAAGUCGCGUGAGGGAAGACGGCCCUACGGGUUGUAAACCUCUUUUGUCGGAGAGUAAAGUACGCUACGCGUAGCGUAUUGCAAGUAUCCGAAGAAAAAGCAUCGGCUAACUCCGUGCCAGCAGCCGCGGUAAUACGGAGGAUGCGAGCGUUAUCCGGAUUUAUUGGGUUUAAAGGGUGCGUAGGCGGCACGCCAAGUCAGCGGUGAAAUUUCCGGGCUCAACCCGGAGUGUGCCGUUGAAACUGGCGAGCUAGAGUGCACAAGAGGCAGGCGGAAUGCGUGGUGUAGCGGUGAAAUGCAUAGAUAUCACGCAGAACCCCGAUUGCGAAGGCAGCCUGCUAGGGUGAAACAGACGCUGAGGCACGAAAGCGUGGGUAUCGAACAGGAUUAGAUACCCUGGUAGUCCACGCAGUAAACGAUGAAUACUAACUGUUUGCGAUACAAUGUAAGCGGUACAGCGAAAGCGUUAAGUAUUCCACCUGGGGAGUACGCCGGCAACGGUGAAACUCAAAGGAAUUGACGGGGGCCCGCACAAGCGGAGGAACAUGUGGUUUAA